rnacentral:rRNA from 1 species
GUUUGACCUCAAAUCAGGUAGGAAUACCCGCUGAACUUAAGCAUAUCAAUAAGCGGAGGAAAAGAAACCAACCGGGAUUGCCUUAGUAACGGCGAGUGAAGCGGCAAAGCUC